rnacentral:rRNA from 1 species
UGGGGAAUUUUGCACAAUGGGCGCAAGCCUGAUGCAGCCAUGCCGCGUGUGUGAAGAAGGCCUUCGGGUUGUAAAGCACUUUCAGCGGGGAGGAAGGCGGUGAGGUUAAUAACCUCAUCGAUUGACGUUACCCGCAGAAGAAGCACCGGCUAACUCCGUGCCAGCAGCCGCGGUAAUACGGAGGGUGCAAGCGUUAAUCGGAAUUACUGGGCGUAAAGCGCACGCAGGCGGUCUGUAAAGUCGGAUGUGAAAUCCCCGGGCUCAACCUGGGAACUGCAUUGGAAACUGGCAGGCUAGAGUCUUGUAGAGGGGGGUAGAAUUCCAGGUGUAGCGGUGAAAUGCGUAGAGAUCUGGAGGAAUACCGGUGGCGAAGGCGGCCCCCUGGACAAGGACUGACGCUCAGGUGCGAAAGCGUGGGGAGCAAACAGG